UACGGAGGGAGCUAGCGUUGUUCGGAAUUACUGGGCGUAAAGCGCACGUAGGCGGCUUUGUAAGUUAGAGGUGAAAGCCCGGAGCUCAACUCCGGAACUGCCUUUUAAGACUGCAUCGCUUGAAUCCAGGAGAGGUGAGUGGAAUUCCGAGUGUAGAGGUGAAAUUCGUAGAUAUUCGGAAGAACACCAGUGGCGAAGGCGGCUCACUGGACUGGUAUUGACGCUG
rnacentral:rRNA from 1 species